AAGCAUUAUACAGCGAAACUGCGAAUGGCUCAUUAAAUCAGUUAUCGUUUAUUUGAUAGUACCUUACUACUUGGAUAACCGUGGUAAUUCUAGAGCUAAUACAUGCUAAAAACCCCGACUCACGAAGGGGUGUAUUUAUUAGAUUAAAAACCAAUGCCCUUCGGGGCUCUUUGGUGAUUCAUAAUAACUUUUCGAAUCGCAUGGCCUUGCGCCGGCGAUGGUUCAUUCAAAUUUCUGCCCUAUCAACUUUCGAUGGCAGGGUCUUGGCCUGCCAUGGUUACAACGGGUAACGGAGGGUUAGGGCUCGACCCCGGAGAAGGAGCCUGAGAAACGGCUACUACAUCCAAGGAAGGCAGCAGGCGCGCAAAUUACCCAAUCCCGAUUCGGGGAGGUAGUGACAAUAAAUACUGAUACAGGGCUCUUUUGGGUCUUGUAAUUGGAAUGAGUACAAUUUAAAUCCCUUAACGAGGAACAAUUGGAGGGCAAGUCUGGUGCCAGCAGCCGCGGUAAUUCCAGCUCCAAUAGCGUAUAUUAAAGUUGUUGCAGUUAAAAAGCUCGUAGUUGAACCUUGGGCCUGGCUGGCCGGUCCGCCUCACCGCGUGCACUGGUUCGGCCGGGCCUUUCCCUCUGGGGAACCUCAUGGUCUUCACUGAUCGUGAUGGGGAACCAGGACUUUUACUGUGAAAAAAUUAGAGUGUUCAAAGCAGGCCUAUGCUCGAAUACAUUAGCAUGGAAUAAUAAAAUAGGACGUGUGGUUCUAUUUUGUUGGUUUCUAGGACCGCCGUAAUGAUUAAUAGGGACAGUCGGGGGCAUCAGUAUUCAAUUGUCAGAGGUGAAAUUCUUGGAUUUAUUGAAGACUAACUACUGCGAAAGCAUUUGCCAAGGAUGUUUUCAUUAAUCAGGAACGAAAGUUAGGGGAUCGAAGACGAUCAGAUACCGUCGUAGUCUUAACCAUAAACUAUGCCGACUAGGGAUCGGACGGUGUUACUUA
rnacentral:rRNA from 1 species